rnacentral:rRNA from 1 species
AUGAACGGCUGGCGGCGUGCUUAACACAUGCAAGGUCCGAACGAUGAUCCGGUUGCUUGCCACCGGGGAUUUAGUGGCGAACGGGUGAGUAACACGUGAGUAACCUGCCCUUAACUCUGGGAUAAGCCUGGGAAACUGGGUCUAAAUACCGGAUAUGACUCCUCAUCGCAUGGGUGGGGGGUUGGAAAAGCUUUAUUGUGGUUUUUGGAUGGAACUCGCGGCCUAUCAGCUUGUUGGUGAGGGUAAUGGCUCACCAAGGCGACGACGGGUAGCCGGCCCUGAGAGGGUUGACCGGCCACAACUGGGACUGAGACACGGCCCAGACUCCCACGGGAGGCAGCAAGUGGGGGAAUAUUGCACAAUGGGCGCAAGCCUGAUGCAGCGACCGCCGCGUGAGGGAUGACGGCCCUUCGGGUUUGGUAAACCUCUUUCAGUAGGGAAGAAGCGAAAGUGACGGUACCCUGCAGAAAGAAGCGCCGGCUCUAACUACGUGCCAGCAGCCGCGGUAAUACGUAGGGCGCAAGCGUUAUCCGGAAUUAUUGGGCGUAAAGAGCUCGUAGGCGGUUUUGCCCGCGUCUGCCGUGAAAGUCCGGGGCUCAACUCCGGAUCUGCGGUGGGUACGGGCAGACUAGAGUGAUGUAGGGGGGACUGGAAUUCCUGGUGUAGCGGUGGAAAUGCGCAGAUAUUCAGGAGGAACACCGAUGGCGAAGGCAGGGUCUCUGGGCAUUAAACUGACGCUGAGGAGCGAAAAGGCCAUGGGGAAUGCGAACAGGAUUAGAUACCCUGGUAGUCCAUGCCGUAAACGUUUGGGCACUAGGUUGUGGGGGACAUUCCACGAUUUUCCGCGCGCCGUAGCUAACGCAAUUAUAAGUGCCCCGCCUGGGGAAGUACGGCCGCAAGGCUAAAAACUCAAAGGAAUUGACGGGGGCCCCGCACAAGCGGCGGAGGCAUGGCGGAUUAAUAUAUCGAUGCAACGCGAAGAAAAGAAACCUUACCAAGGCUCCUUGACAUGGACCGGACCGGGCUGGAAACAGUCCUUCCCCUUUGGGGCCGGUGUUCACAGGUGGUGCAUGGUUGUCGUCAGCUCGUGUCGUGAGAUGUUUGGGUUAAGUCCCGCAACGAGCGCAACCCUCGUUCCAUGUUGCCAGCGCGUAAUGGCGGGGAACUCAUGGGAGACUGCCGGGGGUCAACCUCGGAGGAAGGUGGGGACGACGUCAAAUCAUCAUGCCCCUUAUGUCUUGGGCUUCCACGCAUGCUACAAUUGGCCGGUACAAAGGGUUGCGAUACUGUGAGGUGGAGCUAAUCCCAAAAAAGCCGGUCUCAGUUCGGAUUGGGGGUCUGCAACUCGACCCCAUGAAGUCGGAAGUCGCUAGUAAUCGCAGAUCAGCAAACGCUGCGGUGAAUACGUUUCCCGGGCCUUGUACACACCGGCCCCGUCAAGUCACGAAAGUUGGUAACACCCGAAGCCGGUGGCCUAAACCCCUUGUGGGAGGGAGCUGUCGAAGGUGGGACUGGCGAUUGGGACU